UGGUGACAAGUUCAAAUGCUCAAAAAGAAGAGGUUGAGGAGGCAAAAUCACAGGGGAAUGUCCAGUGGGAGCCUGGCUAAACUACUCUGAGUGAUUGACGUUAGCAUAGGAAUGUCCUGGAAUCUUUGAAAUUUAUAUACAAAACCAGGAACCAGUCACUGUCUUUGACACUUUAUUAUUAGUAAUACAUUUCUUGCAGCAUCCUUUUCAGUUGACCCUCUAGUCUGUAUUACAUAUAUUAUCAGAUAGUUUUAUGCUACUUUGUGAUUUUAGGUAAUUAUUUUGAGAAUGUAAAACACCUAUAGAACCAAUGUAUCUCAUCGAUGAGCACCGCAGAGGGCAUUGUUAUUCCUACUGGUUGAACUUGAAUAAAACUCAUCAAUCACCAGUAGUCCUUUGAAAAAACUGGUAGCCAAAUGCUGGUUCAAGUUUUAUUACUCUUAUGGUAGAUAAUGAUUAUUCAUAAAAUUGGUUGUUUUCUAGGUGUUCUCUUGAACCCCACCGUGGAGCGUUGUAAUAAAACUCUUCUCUUAGAUUGUCCCAUUGAAGAACAGAAAGGAAUGACCUUGCUCCUCUCUGAAUUUUGCUUCUCUUGGGUUUGUGCUCUCACAAAACCUGCAGUGGAGAAGCUACUCAAGGAGAAGCAGAGAAACCGUCUGCCUGGGCAUCUUGUCUUGGCUGUU
rnacentral:lncRNA from 1 species